rnacentral:rRNA from 1 species
GCGAACGGCUGGCGGCAUGCUUAAACACAUGCAAGUCGCACGGUUGGGGGCAACCCUGGCAGUGGCGGACGGGUGAGGUAACGCGUUGGUAUCUAUCCAGGGGUGGGGGGACAACCGCGGGAACUGCGGCUAAUACCGCAUGACGAGCCUGAUCGAGAGAUUGGGUUCCAAAGCCGUAAGGCGCCUUGGCGGAGCCUGCGUCCGAAUUACUUGUUUGUGGGUGGUAACGGCCUACCAAGGCGACGAUCGGUAGCUGGUCUGAGAGGAUGAUCAGCCACACUGGGACUGAGACACGGCCCAGACUCCUACGGGAGGCAGCAGUGGGGAAUAUUGGGCAAUGGGCGCAAGCCUGAUCCAGCAAUGCCGCGUGGGUGAAGAAGGUCUUCGGAUUGUAAAGCCCUUUCGACGGGGACGAUGAUGACGGUACCCGUAGAAGAAGCCCCGGCUAACUUUCGUGCCAGCAGCCGCGGUAAUACGAAGGGGGCUAGCGUUGCUCGGAAUGACUGGGCGUAAGGGGCGCGUAGGCGGCUGGUACAGUCAGACGUGAAAUUCCCGGGCUCAACCUGGGGGCUGCGUUUGAUACGUGCUGGCUUGAGUUCGGAAGAGGGUCGUGGAAUUCCCAGUGUAGAGGUGAAAUUCGUAGAUAUUGGGAAGAACACCGGUGGCGAAGGCGGCGACCUGGUCCGAGACUGACGCUGAGGCGCGAAAGCGUGGGGAGCAAACAGGAUAGAUACCCUGGUAGUCCACGCCCUAAACGAUGCGAACUGGACGUUGGGAGCAACUUGGCUCUCAGUGUCGAAGCUAACGCGUUAAGUUCGCCCCGCCUGGGGAGUACGGUCGCAAAGACUGAAACUCAAAGGGAAUGGACGGGGGCCCGCACAAGCGGUGGAGUAUGUGGUUUAAUUCGAUGCAACGCGCAGAACCUUAACCUGGUCUUGACAAUGUCGCGAACUGCCCAGAGAUGGGCGGGUGCCUUCGGGAAUGCGAACACAGGUGCUGCAUGGCUGUCGUCAGCUCGUGUCGUGAGAUGUUGGGUUAAGUCCCGCAACGAGCGCAACCCUUGUCCUUCUGUUGCCAGCGGGUUAAUGCGGGCACUCUGAAGGAGACUGCCGGUGACAAACCGGAGGAAAGGUGGGGAUGACGUCAAGUCAUCAUGGCCUUUAAUGUACUAGGGGCUACACACCGUGCUAUAAUGGCCGGUACCAAACCGUCGCGAUCUCGCAAGAGGGAGCUAAUCGGAUAAAACCGGUCUCAGUUCGGAUUGUAGGCUGCAACUCGCCUGCAUGAAGUUGGAAUCGCUAGUAAUCGCGGAUCAGCACGCCGCGGUGAAUACGUUCCCGGGCCUUGUACACCACCGCCCGUCACAUCACGAAAGCUGGCUGUACUAGAAGUGGCCGAGCUAACCCGCAAGGGAGGCAGGUCCCUAAGGUAUGGUCAGUGAUUGGGGUGA